UGGGUGCUAUGAUUUGAACUUUGUCCCUCU
rnacentral:piRNA from 1 species